UGAAUCUUUCAAGCGCCAGAACCCGGCGUGUUGCCGGGUUGACGAGGAGGGAGUUUAAUCGAGUUUUUCGGCGGAUGCUCCCCGGUCGGCCACGACCGUAAAAGGUACUACAAAACCAGCGGGUAACCGCAGGGACAAAGGGUGCCUGGUGGCCAGAU
rnacentral:ncRNA from 2 species